AUUGAACGCUGGCGGCAGGCCUAACACAUGCAAGUCGAGCGAGCGGCGGACGGGUGAGUAAUGUAUGGGGACUGCCCGAUAGAGGGGGAUAACUACUGGUAACGGUAGUUAAUACCGCAUACUAUCGGAUAACCUAUAUGGGAUUAGCGAGUAGGUGAGGUAAUGGCUAACCUAGGCGACGAUCCCUAGCUGGUCUGAGAGGAUGAUCAGCAAACCUGGGGCGGAGACACGGCCCAGACUCCUGCGGAGGCAGCAGUGGGAGAGUAUGCAGAAUGGGAGCAAGCCGGAUGCAGCCAUGCCGCGUGUAUGGAGAAGGCCCUAGGGUUGUGAAGUACUUUCAGUCGGGAGGCGUUACCGAAAGAAGAAGCACCGGCUAACUCCGAGCCAGCAGCCGCGGUAAUUC
rnacentral:rRNA from 1 species